GGAUUUGGUUUUAAGGUGGUUUGAGGUUGACUUGAAUAUAUUGAGAGAUGUGAUUGUUGUUUCCUAUGAUGGUUCCUGUAGAGGAAAUGAGAGAUUUGUCAAAGAUGACAGUUUGACCAAUUAUUGCCAACUUGGAAUCAGUGGUGGUCAUCAAGGAUGUUGACUCAGCUUAUAU